CUGUUUUUAUGAAUAAGAUCAUGUUUAAGUUAUUCAGAGGAGGGACGGUGAGUCAGGAGAGAGGAGGGACUGUGAGUCAGGUGAGAGGAGGGACUGUGAGUCAGGUGAGAGGAGGGACGGUGAGUCAGGUGAGAGGAGGGACUGUGAGUCAGGUGAGAGGAGGGACGGUGAGUCAGGUGAGAGGAGGGACGGUGAGUCAGGUGAGAGGAGGGACGGUGAGUCAGGUGAGAGGAGGGACUGUGAGUCAGGUGAGAGGAGGGACGGUGAGUCAGGUGAGAGGAGGGACUGUGAGUCAGGUGAGAGGAGGGACGGUGAGUCAGGUGAGAGGAGGGACGGUGAGUCAGGUGAGAGGAGGGACGGUGAGUCAGGUGAGAGGAGGGACUGUGAGUCAGGUGAGAGGAGGGACUGUGAGUCAGGUGAGAGGAGGGACGGUGAGUCAGGUGAGAGGAGGGACAGUGAGUCUGGUGAGAGUAGGGACGGUGAGUCAGGUGAGAGGAAGCCUCACCACUGCUCCCUCCCUCCCCUCAGACUGACCAUCAGAUCCAGUCACUCAGUCCAGUAAAACAAUAUAUAUUUAUAUAUUAUUAUGCUCACUCAGCUGUGCCG